UACAGAGGUCUCAAGCGUUGUUCGGAUUCAUUGGGCGUAAAGGGUGCGUAGGCGGCGCGGUAAGUCGGGUGUGAAAUCUUGGAGCUUAACUCCGAAACUGCAUUCGAUACUGCCGUGCUUGAGGACUGGAGAGGAGACUGGAAUUGUCGGUGUAGCGGUGAAAUGCGUAGAGAUCGACAAGAACACCGGUGGCGAAGGCGGGUCUCUGGACAGUUCCUGACGCUGAGGGACGAAAGCUAGGGGAGCAAACGGG
rnacentral:rRNA from 1 species